ensembl:misc_RNA Y_RNA Y RNA
GGCUGGUCUGAAGGUAGUGAGUUAUUUCAACUGAUUGGUCACAGUCAGUUACAGAUCAAACUCUUCGUUCUACUCUUUCCCCACUUCUCACUACUGCAUUUGACUCAUCUGAA